ensembl:lncRNA
AGUAAAUCCAAUUUAGUUUGUUCCUCUUCCCUGUUCUGAUCACUUUAACCACCUUCAGCACAGAAGGAAAUAAACUUUCACAAUUCAGUUUGCAGAUCACUCUAGGUUGCUCAUUUUUAGGUGAUAGUUCUUUUGCAAACCAGAAGUGUUACUCAAGUUCAUUAAGCUGAUUUUAUACUAUUAUUCAUUCCAGUGGUCUGAGAAGGUUAUGAGGUCUGGUGAUUUCAGCAAGUCUUAGAAGCAAAAGGUCAAAGUUCGAAAAAGGAGAGAAGUUGACUCACUGGAAAAAAAAAAAAAAAAACCAAUAUGAGUAAAACAUCUUGUACUCCUCUAUCACAGUCAGCUCCUCUAGUUGCCAAUAAAUUCAUAACAUCAACUCAUAGGUUAUCAGCAGAAGGACCAGGAAUAGGAACUGAGAACUCUACAUUUUUUCUAAAGUAAACUCUUCUUGUGGAAUGAUCAUUCUGAAGAUGCUUCAAGUUGCUAGCAGUGCAGACCCAGCAGGCUAUGUGGGAUACAGAAGCUCUGGAGAAGCACAUCAGAGGAGCCCCAGCACACAUCAUGAGACUGCCUGCUCUAUUUCCUCUGGCAGACCUGGAAGAAGUACAGCCUGGGAUGAGCAUGACUGAACAGCAAAUAAGCAGAGUGUAUUUGUCUCUGUCUGGAACGUUUUGUGUGUAUGAGACAGUCCCACAUGUUUUUUCAGGACCACCCUGUCUUGUUUUGAAUGGUGUUCACAGAAACCUGAGUGUGAUGGUAGUAAAUAAAGAAAAGGUUGUGGCUGUGCUGGGGAAGCUCUCCUAGCUGGCCGUCUACUUAUUUGUGUUCUUACAUUGCCACCCUCUGGAUUUAAACACUGCCACUCUAUGGGCAGUUAAGUUUGAGAAAGGCACGCUUAUAAAGUACAAGCCUAAACACACCACUGUAGACAUGCAUUGUUACUAUCACUAUUCAAGUACAUUCAUCUCUUGUAAAUUUCUCAUCUGUUGCUGUAAAGAUUUUUUUAAAGGCUGAUUUGAGGAAGUGUAGCAGAGAGAGAAAUCAGCUCAGUGCAAAACUACAAAUCUUUUGAGUGUUCUCCAAGCCCUCCAAAAAAAAAAAAAUAGAUAUGAGAAUUGAUGAUAGUCUGCAUGAGCUGAAGAAACUACACCCUUCUCUAUACUGAAUAAGAGCAGAGAGUAUUAAUUGAACAUUUGUGGAGGCAAGAAUACACUAUAAGUUCUAACUAUAGUUAUAGGUAUAAGGUUAUUUGGCCAAAUCACCCAAGUAUGAGGUUCAACAAGGGCAAACAUUGGUUCUUGCACCUGGGGAGGAAUAACUACACACAUCAGAAAAAGUUAAGGAAUGACCUGCUGGAAAUCAUUUGUGAGCAGAAGAACCUUGAUGUCCUGGUGGGCAACAGGUUGUCCAUGAGCCGGCAGUGUGCCUUUGCACCCAAGAAGGUCUAUUGUACCCUGGGGUGCACCUAGAAGAGUGUGGUCAGCAGGUCAAGGGGGUAAUCCUUUGCCCUGGUGAGGCCACAUCUGGAGUAUCAUGUCGAGUUCUGGGCUCAGUUCAAAAAAGACAGGGGCUUCUAGAGAGUCCAGCAAAAAGCCAUAGUGAUGAUUAAGGUCCUAGAGCAUCUCCCCUAUGAGAAAAGUCUAUGAAACCUGGGACUUCUCAGUAUGGAGAAGGCUGACAGGGGAUAUUAUAACUUUUUAUGAAUAUCUGAAGUGUGGGAGUUAAGUCAAUGGGAGCAAUAGAACAAGGGCAGAAACUGGAACACAGAAAGUUCAUACAAACACAGGGAAGAACUUUGCUGUGAGUGACAGAGCACUGGAACAAACUGCCCAUAGAGUUUGUGGAGUAUCCUCAUCAGGGGAUAUUUAUAGCCCAUCUGGAUGCCUUCCUGUGCAAUAUUCUGUCAGGAAUCUUCUUUAGCAGAGAGGUUGGACUCGAUGACCUCGAGAAGUCCCUUCCAACCUCUAUAAUUCUGUGAAUCUGUGAAGUACACUGAAUACAGAUGCCAUGAAUACCAAUCCUCACACAAGAACAACACCUACUGCUGCACCAUGUUGAAAUUUGCUCUUUCCCAAGUAUUGAAGGAUAUAUUCAGUCUUCCUGACCUACAUUUCUAUCAAGAGAUUGCCAAUGAAAUUCUAACAUCUGUAGUUGUGUGAAUGUCAGAUGUACAAAACUGAAAGGGAAGAAAGUGCAGGAUACCAAG